rnacentral:rRNA from 1 species
CCUAAGAGAUUAGGCCCUCCUUCGGGACACGAAGACAGGUGUUGCAUGGUUGUCGUCAGCUCGUGUCGUGAGAUGUUGGGUUAAGUCCCGCAACGAGCGCAACCCUCAUGUACAGUUGCCAAUAUUUAGUUAGGAACUCUGUAUAGACUGCCGUGGUUAACACGGAGGAAGGUGGGGAUGACGUCAAAUCAUCACGGCCCUUACGUCCUGGGCUACACACGUGCUACAAUGGCUAUUACAAAGAGUAGCGAUACAGUAAUGUGGAGCGAAUCUCAAAAAGAUAGUCUCAGUUCGGAUUGUGGGCUGCAACUCGCCCACAUGAAGUCGGAGUUGCUAGUAAUCCCGAAUCAGCGUGUCGGGGUGAAUGCGUCCCCGGGUCUUGUACACACCGCCCGUCACGCCAUGGGAGUUGGGAGUGCCCAAAGUCACUGACUUAACCGCAAGGGGAGAGGUGCCUGAGGUAAUACCAAUGACUGGGGUGAAGUCGUAACAAGGUAGCCGUAUCGGAAGGUGCGGC